rnacentral:rRNA from 1 species
UACGUAUGGAGCAGGCGUUAUCCGGAUUUACCGGGUGUAAAGGGAGCGCAGGCGGUCUGGCAAGUCUGAUGUGAAAGGCCGGGGCUCAACCCCGGGACUGCAUUGGAAACUGUCAGACUGGAGUGUCGGAGAGGUAAGCGGAAUUCCUAGUGUAGCGGUGAAAUGCGUAGAUAUUAGGAGGAACACCAGUGGCGAAAGCGGCUCUCUGGUCUGUAACUGACGCUGAGGUUCGAAAGCGUGGGUAGCAAACAGG